AUCUUGCUCUAACAAGGUGUUCAUUAAUCUAAAGAUUCUUCGUUUUCAUACUCAUGUGUGAGAUGUGUCUCUCAAACUUUGUGAAAAGUCAGCACAUGACCCAUCUGAUG
ensembl:snoRNA